AAAUAAGAAGCAAAUAUUGUAGUCAGUUUCGACCUGUCCUUAGAUGUUAAUUCAUCCUUAUUUU
rnacentral:tRNA from 1 species